CCGCCCGGGCAGCGGGUCUGCACCCCAUGGGAAACACUGCAGAGAAGAUAAGAAUCAAAUGUUUAGUGAAACAGGAAUCCUAGCAGCUCCUGACCUGCACCAAGGACCGGGCUGGGAGCCAGGGCAGCCUCAGAGGCUGCCACGCAGGUGACCCAAGGUCCCCUCGUGAUCCUGCCAUCUCAGGCCCGGAGGAGAGCGUCCCAUCUCCUCCCCGGAACCGCGGCAUCUGGCAGCCGGCCAGCUUCGUGUGUCCUUAAAGGCGGGGUUCUCCACCUCAAGGGUGCGGCGCCCACCUCCUCCGGGGCCUGUGCCUCUUCAGGUCUCGCCUCAGUGCCAGCGGCAGACCCUCUCAAAGCGUGGCCUGCCGACGCCUGUGUCCAUCCUCAUUAACAGCCAGAUUCAGGGACACCAGCAGGGUGUCACGGGGCAAGUACCUCAUGUUCGAGUUCUCCACGCCACAGCCUUGCUGCUGAGAGACCACCCACUAUGGAAAGAGCAGGCGUGCACAGCUAUGGGUCAGCAGGGCCUCAGAUGGACGGUCUCUCCCUCUGCAGGCUGUGGUCAGCAGGCCCCUGGAUGCAGGCUGGCCCUGGAUGGACGGUCCUCCUCUGCAGGCCGUGUUUGGUGAGUUCGGUUCACAUGCAUCUCGUCCUCCAUGGUCCAGUUGGCUCACUGGACUGUUCGCUUUUCGGCCUGGGCAGGACCACAAGAGAGCAAGGCCGAAGAAACCCGCACUGGCACACAUCAAAACACAACUCCACACAACGUCCAAAACUCAUGCUCACACACAUCAAAACACAACUUCGCACAACGUCCAAAACUCACACACACACACAUCAAAACACAACUUCGCACAACGUCCAAAACUCACACACAAAGACACGACUUCACACAGCGUCCAAAACUCACGCUCACACACAUCAAGACACAACUUCACACAACGUCCAAAACUCACGCUCACACACACACAAGACACGACUUCACACAACGUCCAAAACUCAUGCUCACACACAUCAAAACUUCACACAUCCAAAACUCACGCUCACACACAUCAAAACACAACUUCACACAACGUCCAAAACUCACGCUCACACACAUCAAGAUACGACUUCACACAACGUCCAAAACUCAUGCUCACACACAUCAAAACUUCACACAACGUCCAAAACUCACGCUCACACACAUCAAAACAUAACUUCACACAACGUCCAAAACUCACGCUCACACACAUCAAAACACAACUUCGCACAACGUCCAAAACUCACACACACACACAUCAAAACACAACACACAACGUCCAAAACUCACACACACACAUCAAAACACAACUCCACACAACUCCAAAACUCACGCUCACACACAUCAAAACACAACUUCGCACAACGUCCAAAACUCACACACACAAUCAAAACACAACUGCACACAGUCCAAAACUCACGCUCACACACAUCAAAACACAACUUCGCACGUCCAAAACUCACACACACACACGACACAACUUCACACAACGUCCAAAACUCACGCUCACACACAUCAAAACACAACUUCACACAGCGUCCAAAACUCACGCUCACACACAUCAAAACACAAUGUCCAAAGCUCACGCUCACACGCGCGUUGAAAGCAGCCGGAACAACACAAUUUCCUCCAAGGGGAAAUGCCGAUUCGAAUGACAGCGAAUUUCUCAUCGGAAACCAUGCAGGCCAGAAGGAAGAGGCACAGGUUUUCGGGCUGGUGGGGGCUGCAGAGGAAGCCGGCGGGGCCAAAGCGUUCUGUGAUUGAAGGCGCUGACAUCGGCUUCCUGGUUGUGACACGGCGCUCAGCUUUGCGAGAUGGA
rnacentral:lncRNA from 1 species